UGAAGAGUUUGAUCAUGGCUCAGAUUGAACGCUGGCGGCAGGCCUAACACAUGCAAGUCGAACGGUAACAGGAAGCAGCUUGCUGCUUCGCUGACGAGUGGCGGACGGGUGAGUAAUGUCUGGGAAACUGCCUGAUGGAGGGGGAUAACUACUGGAAACGGUGGCUAAUACCGCAUAACGUCGCAAGACCAAAGAGGGGGACCUUCGGGCCUCUUGCCAUCAGAUGUGCCCAGAUGGGAUUAGCUAGUUGGUGAGGUAACGGCUCACCAAGGCGACGAUCCCUAGCUGGUCUGAGAGGAUGACCAGCCACACUGGAACUGAGACACGGUCCAGACUCCUACGGGAGGCAGCAGUGGGGA
rnacentral:rRNA from 1 species